rnacentral:miRNA from 1 species
UGUGAAAUAGUAAGUUAUA